rnacentral:rRNA from 1 species
GAACGAACCGUACGAACGUUAUUCGGAAUUACUGGGCUUAAAGGGUUUGUAGGCGGCCUUGUAAGUCAGGUGUGAAAUCCUCCGGCUCACCGAGGAUGGCGCUUGAUACUGCAAGGCUUGAGGGAGACAGGGGUAAGCGGAACUGAUGGUGGAGCGGUGAAAUGCGUUGAUAUCAUCAGGAACACCGGUGGCGAAAGCGGCUUACUGGGUCUCUUCUGACGCUGAGGAACGAAAGCUAGGGAGCGAACGGG